rnacentral:rRNA from 1 species
GAGUUUGAUCCUGGCUCAGGGUGAACGCUGGCGGCGCGCUUAAUGCAUGCAAGUCGAACGUGCUUUCGGGCAAGUGGCACGACGGCUGAGUAACGCGUGAGUAACGCACCCUCCGGUGGGGUAUAGCCUCGGGAAACUGAGAGUAAUCCCGCAUACGAUCCGGUGGCCCCGGUUGCCGGAUGAAAGCCUUUGGCGCCGGAGGAGCGGCUCGCGUCCUAUCAGGUAGUUGGUGGGGUAAAAGCCUACCAAGCCUAUGACGGGUAGCUGGUCUUAGAGGACGAUCAGCCAGAGGGGGACUGAGACACGGCCCCCACUCCUACGGGAGGCAGCAGCAGGGAAUUUUGGGCAAUGGGCGAAAGCCUGACCCAGCGACGUCGCGUGGGGGAUGAAGGCCCUCGGGCUGUAAACCCCUUUUCCCGGGGAAGAGAAAGGACGGUACCUCGGGAAUAAGCCCCGGCUAACUACGUGCCAGCAGCCGCGGUAAUACGUAGGGGGCAAGCGUUACCCGGAAUCACUGGGCGUAAAGUGCGCGUAGGCGGUUGGAUAAGUCUCUUGUGAAAGCUCCCGGCUCAACUGGGAGAGGUCAAGGGAUACUAUUCGACUUGAGGACAGCAGAGGUAAGCAGAAUUCCCGGUGUAGCGGUGGAAUGCGUAGAUAUCGGGAGGAACACCAGUGGCGAAAGCGGCUUACUGGGCUGUAUCUGACGCUGAGGCGCGAGAGCGUGGGGAGCAAACUGGAUUAGAUACCCUGGUAGUC